rnacentral:rRNA from 1 species
CAAUAGCGUAUAUUAAAGUUGUUGCAGUUAAAAAGCUCGUAGUUGGAUUUCUGGCAGGAGUGACCGGCCGCACACACUGUGUGCGAGUUGCGUCAUUCUGGCCAUCCUUGGUGAGAUCCUGUUUGGCAUUAAGUUGUCGGGCAGGGGAUAACCAUCGUUUACUGUGAAAAAAUUAGAGUGUUUAAAGCAGGCUUAUGCCGUUGAAUAUAUUAGCAUGGAAUAAUAAGAUAGGACUUUGAGUCUAUUUUGUUGGUUUGCGAGUCAAAGUAAUGAUUAAUAGGGACAGUUGGGGGUAUUCGUAUUUCACUGUCAGAGGUGAAAUCUUGGUAUUCUUGAAAGAACGAACUAACUGCGAAAGACAUUUACCUAAGGAAGUGUUUUCUAUUAAUUCAAGAAACGAAAGUUAGGGGAGUCGAAGACGAUCAGAUACCAU